AUCCAGUUGACGAGUCCCAAAUAGGACGAAACACAUUCAACUGGAU
rnacentral:hammerhead_ribozyme from 1 species